AGAGAGAGAGAGAAAGAUACAUCUUUAAGGUACAGUUUCAUCUGCAAUAAUCUUAGAAGAACACAAAAUUUGACCAGAUCAUUUUUACUUGCAGGGAUUAGCUUAGUUUAAAAAGGAUAAAGAAAUCUGCUGUAAAGUAUAAACCUGAUUAAUGAUCCAAUCAGCUCCUAAUAAAUAAUCUGAAGCAAUGUAAGACACACAACAUGUUUCUUCAAAAAAGGAUUGCAAAGCACCAUAAGUGAAUAUUCCCAUCAUGGAGGUGAGUCCGUAGGAAGGAAGGGAAAAGGAAAAAGGUUCCUGAUUAAUUUUCCUUGAUGAUCGGCAGGUUCAAAAUCCUAUGGACCAAAAAUACUGGUUAAUCUUUUUUAAGAGCGUUCCAAAAGAGGAGAAUGAGAAACAUUAUAGAUGAACUUCAGAAACUUAGAAGAAGGUCUUUAUGAUGUAUCCAUUGCUAAGGAAAACAGCCAUGGAUAUAGCAAAUAUUCACAGCUCAACCAGGAGAGGAACGGAGUAAGUAACUAUUGACCUCCAAAAGCAAACCCUAUGGAAGUGAAGCUAAAUUUGUGAGCUGCAAUAACUACAACAGGGAAUAGGUGAGAUAAAGGCAGGUAUGAGAACUUUUAGUGUUUAAAAACUAAAAAUAAUAUUUAAAGAUCUCAGCUCCACAGAGACAGUCUUUAUAUUUUUCAUUGUUAUUUAUCUAAUCUUGGAAGAAUUGCAAUAGGAAAGUUCAAUGGAUCAUAUAUUAACAUAGGUUGAAGAACAGAAGCUAAAUGAUUUAAAGAGUAUCAGUUGAAAAAAGCUGUUUUUCAUUUAAAAUGCACAAUAUUAUAGCAAAGCAGUGAGGUGAGAU